rnacentral:rRNA from 1 species
GACGAACGCUGGCGGCGUGCUUAACACAUGCAAGUCGAACGGAGAGGCUCUGCUUUUGUGGGGUGCUCGAGUGGCGAACGGGUGAGUAACACGUGAGUAAUCUGCCCUUGACUUUGGGAUAACUUCAGGAAACUGGGGCUAAUACCGGAUAGGAGCUCCUGCUGCAUGGUGGGGGUUGGAAAGUUUCGGCGGUUGGGGAUGUACUUGCGGCUUAUCAGCUUGUUGGUGGGGUAGUGGCUUACCAAGGCAUUGACGGGUAGCCGGCCUGAGAGGGUGACCGGCCACAUUGGGACUGAGAUACGGCCCAGACUCCUACGGGAGGCAGCAGUGGGGAAGAGUGCACAAUGGGCGGAAGCCUAAUGCAGCAACGCCGCGUGCGGGAUGACGGCCUUCGGGUUGUAAUCCGCUUUCGCCUGUGACGAAGCGUGAGUGACGGUAAUGUGUAAAGAAGCACCGGCUAACUACGUG